rnacentral:rRNA from 1 species
CCUACGGGUGGCUGCAGUGAGGAAUAUUGGUCAAUGGCCGGAAGGCUGAACCAGCCAAGCCGCGUGAAGGACGAAGGUGCCAAGCAUUGUAAACUUCUUUUGUCAAGGGACAAAAUCAGGCUCGAGCGCCUGACCGUGUGUACUUGAAGAACAAGCAUCGGCUAACUCCGUGCCAGCAGCCGCGGUAAUACGGAGGAUGCGAGCGUUAUCCGGAUUUAUUGGGUUUAAAGGGUGCGUAGGCGGGCUGUUAAGUCAGCGGUAAAAGCCCGGGGCUCAACCCCGGCGAGCCGUUGAAACUGGGGGUCUUGAGAUGUCGCGGGGUAGGCGGAAUGCGCAGUGUAGCGGUGAAAUGCUUAGAUAUUGCGCAGAACUCCGAUUGCGAAGGCAGCAUACCGGCGGCGAUCUGACGCUGAGGCACGAAAGCGUGGGUAUCGAACAGGAUUAGAUACCCUUGUAGUC